GACGAACGCUGGCGGCGUGCUUAACACAUGCAAGUCGAACGGAAAGGCCCUGCUUUUGUGGGGUGCUCGAGUGGCGAAAGGGUGAGUAACACGUGAGUAACCUGCCCUUGACUUUGGGAUAACUUCAGGAAACUGGGGCUACUACCGGAUAGGAGCUCCUGCUGCAUGGUGGGGGUUGGAAAGUUUCGGCGGUUGGGGAUGGACUCGCGGCUUAUCAGCUUGUUGGUGGGGUAGUGGCUUACCAAGGCUUUGACGGGUAGCCGGCCUGAGAGGGUGACCGGCCACAUUGGGACUGAGAUACGGACCAGACUCCUACGGGAGGCAGCAGUGGGGAAUAUUGCACAAUGGGCGGAAGCCUGAUGCAGCAACGCCGCGUGCGGGAUGACGGCCUUCGGGUUGUAAACCGCUUUCGCCUGUGACGAAGCGUGAGUGACGGUAAUGGGUAAAGAAGCACCGGCUAACUACGUG
rnacentral:rRNA from 1 species